rnacentral:misc_RNA from 1 species
UUUUGGAGGCACAAACUUCCUAGCUCUUAAAGCUGUUCUAGAUAUGUAUCAAUUCAAUUAAUGUUUGAAAGCUCCCUGAAGACUCUAAUGGUCGACCUGGCUGUAAAACCCCAUCCAGAAAUUUUAGGGUUUUCUGGGGAUCCAUUUGGUGAUAUUUAAUUUGACAUAUACUGUCCACAAAACGAAAUGUAAAGGAAACUUACAGGAAGCCCACUUCUGUUGAAGG